AUUGAACGCUGGCGGCGUGCCUAAUACAUGCAAGUCGAGCGAGCGGCGGACGGGUGAGUAAUGUAUGGGGACUGCCCGAUAGAGGGGGAUAACUACUGGAAACGGUGGCUAAUACCGCAUACUAUCGGAUAACCCAUAUGGGAUUAGCUAUUAGGUGGGGUAAAGGCUCACCUAGGCGACGAUCUCUAGCUGGUCUGAGAGGAGGAUCAGCCACAUUGGGACUGGGACACGGCCCAGACUCCUACGGAGGCAGCAUGGGGGAAUAUUGCACAAUGAGCGAAAGCCUGAUGCAGCAAUGCCGCGGGUAUGAAGAAGGCCUUAGGGUUGUAAAGUACUUUCAGCGGGGAGGCGUUACCCGCAGAAGAAGCACCGGCUAACUCCGUGCCAGCAGCCGCGGUAAUUC
rnacentral:rRNA from 1 species